rnacentral:rRNA from 1 species
UACGGGGGGGGCAAGCGUUGUUCGGAAUUACUGGGCGUAAAGGGCGCGUAGGCGGCCUGCUAAGUCGGACGUGAAAUCCCUCGGCUCAACCGAGGAACUGCGUCCGAUACUGGUGGGCUUGAAUCCGGGAGAGGGAUGUGGAAUUCCAGGUGUAGCGGUGAAAUGCGUAGAUAUCGGGAGGAACACCAGUGGCGAAGGCGACUUCCUGGCCUGUUCUUGACGCUGAGGCGCGAAAGCUAGGGUAGCAAACGGG